GCCUUGCUGAGAGCCCAGAAGACAGAGAUGUUCUGCUAAGAAGUCGGCAGAGCGUAAGACUUUUAAUCUCAGGGUUGCGAGGGUUCAAGCCCCAUGUUGGGCA